UACGUAGGGUGCGAGCGUUGUCCGGAAUUAUUGGGCGUAAAGAGCUCGUAGGCGGUCUGUCGCGUCGGUCGUGAAAACUUGGGGCUUAACCCUGAGCUUGCGGUCGAUACGGGCAGACUAGAGUUCGGCAGGGGAGACUGGAAUUCCUGGUGUAGCGGUGAAAAUGCGCAGAUAUCAGGAGGAACACCGGUGGCGAAGGCGGGUCUCUGGGCCGAUACUGACGCUGAGGAGCGAAAGCGUGGGGAGCGAACAGG
rnacentral:rRNA from 1 species